UGUGUGUUUAAGUUUUUCCUUUCACAUGGCGUAUCAUGUCGAAAUGCACGACUACAUUUAUGAGUGCACCAGUUCUUCUGGCCUUUGACCUUUGAGAAAGUGUGUGUGUGUGUGUGUGUCAUUAUGAAUGCGACUGAAGUAGGUUCUUUGGUUUCAAACGUAAUUCAGUCGUCUGCUGACAGUGCUGGUUUCUGAGGCGUGAACAUCGAGGGAGUCGGACACUUCAUAAGCCGCUCCGGAUCUGCCGCGCCGCUCCGCUCCGCUCUCUCCCACAGACUGCCAUUUGCAUUUGAAAGGGAAGAACACCUGGUGAACAUGAAUGGAAUAUUUCCACAACCUCGGCAAACUUAUGCCGAUUGAGUGCCGGCUGUUUAGUUUGCACAUGCAGACGUUCGUGGUGUUGAUG